rnacentral:rRNA from 1 species
UACGGAGGGAGCUAGCGUUGUUCGGAAUUACUGGGCGUAAAGCGCACGUAGGCGGCUUUGUAAGUUAGAGGUGAAAGCCCGGAGCUCAACUCCGGAAUUGCCUUUAAGACUGCAUCGCUUGAAUCCGGGAGAGGUGAGUGGAAUUCCGGGUGUAGCGGUGGAAUGCGUAGAGAUCCGGAAGAACACCGGUGGCGAAGGCGGCCUGCUGGGCAGUUGCUGACACUGAGGCGCGACAGCGUGGGGAGCAAACAGG